rnacentral:misc_RNA from 1 species
CCGAACUGUCGACACGAGUUGUUGCUGGUCCUCAAACGGGGGCAUGUGCACACUCUGUUUGCAUAUCCACUCACACCUGUGCACCCUCCAUAGUUCUAUAGCCCUGGGGGCCUUAAACCCCCAGCUGUGGUCCUAUGUAUUUACACAUACACUGUAAUAAAGUCUUAUGGAAUGUAUGCCGCGUUUAACGCAAUACAAUA